UGAACCUGAGGAAGGAUCAUUCGCACGCAUCCAAUUGAAUCACCGUGAAUAAAUCGCGUGAGUUUGUGGGUGGAGGUGGAGAUUAUAUCGAAACCUUCAUGCAGAAACUCGAGGGCGGCAGGGCAGGGAGGGAGACUUUGAGCAUGCCCUCGGGUGUGACUCUCUGCUCGGCUUCUUGUCUUGUCGUCACUUUCUCCUGCAUCAGGAUCUUACUCCUACAUUCUUUCUGAGUGGAUUUCCACUUCAUUCUUUUACAACUUUCAGCGACGGAUGUCUCGGCUCGAACAACGAUGAAGGGCGCAGCGAAGUGUGAUAAGCAUUGUGAAUUGCAGAAUUCCGUGAACCAAUAGGGAUUUGAACGUACACUGCGCUUUCGGGAUAUCCCUGAAAGCAUGCCUACUUCAGUGUCUACUCCAUCUAAUGCCAGUGUCUAAUUCUACUUCGUGUGGAUUGGGCACUUGUGCGUCUUUGUGUGUUAGGGUGCUUUGCCCCUGACGCAUUCAAUGUAUGGGGAUUUGUUUGCGAUGCACAACUUGCUAAGCGUCUUUGAUGCCUCUUGUUGUUGCAAUUGUGACAUUGUCCCUGCCCUCUCUGGUCAUUGC
rnacentral:rRNA from 1 species